AAUCUGGAAGGAUAUAGAUAAGACCUUUGCUUAUCUGUAUCUUCCAGUUUUCCUACAUUGAAAAUGUAUUAUUUGUAUAAUUAAAAAAUGAAAGUAACUAUGUUUAUAUAUAUAUGGGCUGGUGAGAAAGGUUGGGACAGCAAGAUUCCCAGAUGAGCCAAGGAGUAGAGAGAAAAGGAGGACAGGUAAGCUGGACCCAGCCGAGGUCUUGGAAGGCCAACUGAGGAGUGGAAUUGAAGUGACAGGACAGGAGCAACCGCAGCUCCCAGAGGAAUGAUACCCAGGGAGCCAUGUCCUUGAGGAAAAUUGCUGGGGCAGCAAGUACCAGGUGGACUAGGGCUUGAGGGAGGGGUUAAGGGACGGUUUCAGAAACACCCGUGGAUAGGGAGAGCACCUGAGCAGACCUCACCUGGGAAGGGCAGUGAGAAUGAGAGAUGGGAGUAGAAGGGGGCCACUCGCAGGAAAGCGGACCAGGGCCAGGUGCUACCCCGAGGCCUGGGGAAUGGGUGGAGUGUGAUGGGGAGGGGGUGCCCUCAUCCCACCCAUCUGGGGGUAUUCCUCCCUCCUUGGGCUCAUGCAUCCUGAAGGAAUUUAAUUUCUAGGCAUCACAGGAGGAAAAGAAAAAGAGUGAGACAGAGAGCUGGUCUUCAGCCCCGGGAAGAAGUUGCAGUGCUGGGACACAUACCAAUGAGCAUCGGGGACCCUGCCUAGGAGGAGGUCCCUGAAAAGGUGUGGUUGGCAUGGACGGGGCCCCAGGAGGCCCAGUGUGCUAGAGCUUGGGACAGGGCUUGUCCUGCCCCCAGAGGGGAGCCCACCCACCUCUCUGGAAGGCACAGCACAGCCCCGGCUGGCAGUCCCUCUGGUUGUCACAGAUGGUCCCGUUGCCGCCUUUGGUGGCCGUUCUGGUGCAGUGACCCCAGACGCACAGCUGGUCUCCACAACACUCGCUGUCCCGGGUGCAGAGCUGCAGCAGGGAGGGAAAACACAGGCGGCUUACGGACCUGAGGGAGCCCAGCCUGUCCCUGCCCCCAAUCCAGAAGCCUGGAGACAGUGCAGGUCUCCUACUAUAGACAGGAGGAAACCGAGCUCCUUGGUCUGGGGGUGUCUUAGGGAAGUCAAGGGGGUGGAGAUGGGAGCUGGGCAGGAAACAUGACACCUGGGGGAGUCCUACGCAGCUUGAGAUUUUAUAAAGGAUGGUUGCAUCUUUUCGGUUCCCCCCCAGACUUGGCUUUGCCCCCUUUUCAUUAGGUCCCUAAUUAACGGUCAGGAAGGAAGAUGGCUUAUGGCCCACAGACGCAGGCAGCGGCGUGAAUCUGAUCAGCUGAUUAAAUUAAGGCCCAAGCCUGGACAGCCACAUGGACAUGAGGGCACUGGGUGCCUUGGACCUGGGGUCGCACAUGUGGAGUGGUGGCACCGAGCAGGCCAGGAGCUGCCUAACCACAGGUGGAAGAAGUUAACUGUAUGCUGAUCACAAGCCCGCGGACCCCAGGCAGUUGGAACCAGAAGACUGAUGAUGUUGACUCCCAGUUACCUUCCCACCCAUCAGAAGAAUGUCCGCAAGCUCAUCAGCACAUGUGCAACUCUCUCCCUCAACCUGUCUUUAAAAGCCCUCCCCUGAAAGCCAUCGGGGAGUUGGGAUCUUCUGAGCUUUACUCCUUGCUUGGCCUUGCAACAAACGCUGCACUUUCCUCACCACAACCCAGCAUCAGUAGAUCGGCUUUACUAUGUGCAGCAUCCCACGCAUCUCGGCCUACGAGCCCCCUCCCACGGCUCUGCCCGAAGUUUCCAUCACCACGGCAGUGCAGCAGCUCAGCAAGUAGGGUCUGCCCUCCCAAAAGGAAUCGAUCUUGUCCCUGUUCCCAACCCAGCAACCCUAAAAGGUCGACUGUUUUUACUGGUGAGAAAACUGAGUCUCAGAGGGGCGGAAGGGCCGCCCAAAUCAGGGGCUGAGCUGGGGGCAGGGCACUCAGUCUGUGUGACCCCAGAGUCCAUAAUAGCCUGAGAAGCCGACAGGUUUAUAAGUAAAGCACUCAGCCACCACGCCUUCCUCGACACAGACUCAACUCAGCCAGUUAAGCCAGAAGCGUCCUGACAUUUCUUCCAAAACAGAAUAGCAAGAGCAUGGGGUGGUGGGGGCAGGAGGGAGGGAGGAGUAGAGGGCCCACAGGUAUCAAGGCCCUUCUCUGAACCCGGCCACAUUUUGAAGCAUUGGGAUGCAAACAUGAAUAGGAGAAGGCCUUUGCCCUCAAAGAAUUUAUCAUUCAAUUAAAAAAAAAAAAAUGCAACCCAGCAGAAAAGAGAGAAGGGUAUGAACAGACAACUUACAGCCAGUGAAACUGCUUUGUCUCUUCACGCAGAAAAGAUAUUCGAGGGGCUUCCCUGGUGGUGCAGUGGUUGAGAGUCUGCCUGCCAAUGCAUGGGACACGGGUUCGAGCCCUGGUCUGGGAG